rnacentral:rRNA from 1 species
GUUUGAUCCUGGCUCAGAGCGAACGUUAGCGGCGGGGCUUAACACAUGCAAGUCGAGCGAGAAAAGGGGCUUCGGCCCUGAGUACAGCGGCGGACGGGUGAAUAACACGUAGGUAACCUUCCUUUCAGCGGGGGACAACGGUCCGAAAGGACCGCUAAUACCGCAUACGUUCCCUGGGACCUCGGUCCUGGGGAGGAAAGGCCCGCAAGGGCCACUGGAUGAGGGGCCUGCGUAGCAUCAGCUAGUUGGUGGGGUAAUGGCCUACCAAGGCGAAGACGCUUAGCUGGUCUGAGAGGAUGAUCAGCCACACUGGGACUGAGACACGGCCCAGACUCCUACGGGAGGCAGCAGUGGGGAAUAUUGGACAAUGGGCGCAAGCCUGAUCCAGCCACGCCGCGUGAGUGAUGAAGGCCUCGGUCGUAAGACUCUUGGGGUAGGGGACGGAACGGCGGCCGAUGAAGAGUAGGCGGAUUGACGGUA